UACGGAAGUUUUCGGACGGAAGUUAUGUAACUUAGUGGCGGACGGGUGAGUAACGCGUGAGCAACCUGCCCUACAGAGGGGGAUAACAUUCGGAAACGAAUGCUAAUACCGCAUAACAUAUAACUGUGGCAUCACAGAAAUAUCAAAGGAGUAAUCCGCUGUAAGAUGGGCUCGCGUCCGAUUAGAUAGUUGGUGACGGUAACGGCGCACCAAGUCAACGAUCGGUAGCCGGACUGAGAGGUUGAACGGCCACAUUGGGACUGAGACACGGCCCAGACCCC
rnacentral:rRNA from 1 species